AGAGCUUGAUCAGGGUCAGGAUGACGCUAGCGGCAGGCUUAUACAUGCACGACGAACGGUAACUGGUUAGCAAUACAACAGCUAGAGUGUCGUAAGGCGCGUAUCACGUAUGCUACAUUCCUGUACAGGGGUAUAGCUCGGGGAAACUCGAAUUAACCCUCCAUGACAUAGUGAUGUGGCAUCACAUUAUUACUGAAACUUCGGUGGUACAAGAUGGGCAUGCGUCUGAUUAGUUAGUUGGCAGUGUAAAGGACUACCAAGACGAUGAUCAGUAGCGGACCUGAGAGGGUGAUCCCCCACACUGGCACUGAGAUACGGGCCAGACUCCUACGGGAGGCAGCAGUAGGGAAUAUUGGUCAAUGGGUGAGAGCCUGAACCAGCCAUGCCGCGUGCAGGAAGAAGGCGUUAUGCGUUGUAAACUGCUUUUGCCAGGGGAUAAAAUGAGCGUGCGCGCUUAAUUGAAGGUACCUGGUGAAUAAGCCAGGGCUAAUUACGUGCCAGCAGCCGCGGUAAUAGGUAGGUGGCAAGCGUUGUCCGGAUUUAUUGGGUUUAAAGGGUGGGUAGGUGGCCCUGUAAGUCAGUGGUGAAAUAUCUCAGCUUAACUGAGAGGGUGCCAGUGAUACUGCAGGGCUGGGGUACGGAGGAGGUAGGCGGAAUUGACGGUGUAGCGGUGAAAUGCAUAGAUAUCGUCAAGAACACCGAUAGGGAGGGCAGGUUCCCAAGCUGUAACUGUCAUUUAGGCACGAAAGUGUGGGGAUCAAACAGGAUUAGAUACCCUGGUAUUCCA
rnacentral:rRNA from 1 species